UAGACCGGAGCUGUUCCUAUUCAGCCAUCUUGGAAGCAACCCUCUUUUUCUUUUUGUAUUUUGGUAGAGACAGGGUUUCACCAUAUUGCCCAGGCUGGUUUCAAACUCCUGAGGUCAAGCCAUUCUAUAAAACAAACUUAUAUUUGUUUUAUCUGAGUUCCUUCCUCAGGAAAGGACUCUCAGGCCUCUCAAAAAGCAUCAGAGACCUGAAACUCAGCCAAUCACAGCAUCCAGACAAUGAGAUGCCAGUCCCCUCACUCAUCACGAGUGCUUCCUCACCCCUCCCUAGUUCCUCUUUUCCUACACACAGUUAACUUUUCUUCUGCGCUAUAUAAACCCCUAACUUUAGUCAAUCAGGGAGACAGAUUUAAGACUCAUCUCCUGUCUACUCAGCUGCAGCACCUGAUUAAAGCCUUCUUCCUCAGCAAUACUCAAUGUCUCAAUGAUUGUCUUUCUGUGUGCUGAGAACACUGAAGCCCUGGGGUUUUGGUAAAAAUACAUGUACACUUUUAAAAACCCCAAUUAAUGGGUUGUGGUAUAUUGAGAAAUUGGAGUGGCGUCAACUUGGCCAAUUCUGAGGAAACACACUGUGCUUAAGUGUCAGGGCCCUGCCUCCUGACCUCGACAGUUUAUGGUUGAUUUUGAGGCACAGCAGGGGAGUAUGGCCUGGUUUGAGUGUUUUAUAGAAAUGUAAAACAUGGCUGAUUACUUUUUAUUUUAAAUCCAACAAAUUCUCCAUUUCUGGUGAGAAAAUCUUGCCAAAACCAACCAAACAAAUGCAUAGAAGUAUAUGAAGAAGAAAAUGAAAGAUUCCCUGCCUCCGAAUCCCACUUGCUUGGUGUCAGCCAUUAUUUAUCACAUGGAGGAUGGGGGCAAGACACCCAGGAAGUCCCAAGUCCUGUUCUCACAAUCAUCUGGCCUCCCUGGGCAAAGGGAAAAGAGGGAAGGCAAAAAGAAUAUAACACUACUGUUUGCGGAAAUUUCCCCUUGGUACAGGAAACUCUGGUAAACUGAGAGAGUAUGUUUUCCAGAGGGAGGCCUCAAGGGCUCUUCUCUGGCCCUAAGCCCAAACUGGAUUUUGCCUCAUUUUCUGAGGUGCAAAUGAAAUGAUAAAAGUUGAUCAAAGGAGAGGGCAGAGAGAAAGAAAGAGGAUGAAUCCUCUCUCGCAGGUCCACCUUCUUUGGUGUUGCUUGAGG
rnacentral:lncRNA from 10 species